AUUGAACGCUGGCGGCAUGCCUUACACAUGCAAGUCGAACGGUAACAGGUCUUCGGAUGCUGACGAGUGGCGAACGGGUGAGUAAUACAUCGGAACGUGCCUAGUAGUGGGGGAUAACUACUCGAAAGAGUGGCUAAUACCGCAUGAGAUCUACGGAUGAAAGCAGGGGAUCGCAAGACCUUGUGCUACUAGAGCGGCCGAUGGCAGAUUAGGUAGUUGGUGGGAUAAAAGCUUACCAAGCCGACGAUCUGUAGCUGGUCUGAGAGGACGAGCAGCCACACUGGGACUGAGACACGGCCCAGACUCCUACGGGAGGCAGCAGUGGGGAAUUUUGGACAAUGGGCGCAAGCCUGAUCCAGCAAUGCCGCGUGCAGGAUGAAGGCCUUCGGGUUGUAAACUGCUUUUGUACGGAACGAAAAGCCCCGGGUUAAUACCCUGGGGUCAUGACGGUAUCGUAAGAAUAAGCACCGGCUAACUUCGUGCCAGCCGCCGCGGUAA
rnacentral:rRNA from 1 species